rnacentral:rRNA from 1 species
UGUCCCCUACGGGGCGCAGCAGUGGGGGAUAUUGCACAAUGGGGGGAACCCUGAUGCAGCGACGCCGCGUGGGUAAAGAAGCGCCUCGGCGCGUAAAGCCCUGUCAGCAGGGAAGAAAAUGACGGUACCUGAAGAAGAAGCCCCGGCUAACUACGUGCCAGCAGCCGCGGUAAUACGUAGGGGGCAAGCGUUAUCCGGAUUUACUGGGUGUAAAGGGGGCGCAGACGGCGAUGCAAGCCAGGAGUGCAAGUCCG